GCGGGUCACUUUCAAACAACUUUUUCCAUAGUAAAGCACGGGUACAAUCAGGAUCAGGUCUCCGUCCUACAAACAUGGAGAUGGAAUUAGCAGAUUAACACUAGAUGAAGAAGAAGAAGCAGUUCUUCAAGUACAAACAGAGCAGCGCACACAGGGAGAAGAGGGGAUUUUCAGGUUAGUGGGUUGUUUCUUAAUAGCAAGUGUUUUCAUUAUCCUGCAAUGAAAAGUACUAUGGCAAAUUUAUGGCAUCCGGUUCAGGUUGUCCAGAUUCGGGAUCUGGGAGAUAGAAGAUUCUUGUUCCAAUUUUUUCAUGUUAUGGAUUUGGAGAGAGUAUUAAAUGGAUCACCAUGGACAUUUAAUAAUCACUUACUGCUGCUAUACAAAUUACAACUGGGGGAGGAUCCAUUAAGAGUUUUUUUUUUGCUUUUUUUGUAGUCGUUUGGGUCAUAGUGAUGCUUUUUGUGAAGCAAAAAUGGAAGCAGGUAUGGAAGUUGCUGAUAUGGGGUGGAACUUAUCGUUGAGAGCUCAAUCUAGAAGGGCUUUAGCAAUGAAAAGUAUAUGGCUGCGAGAAGACAAUGAUGAUAAUUUUGGAGUUAAUAGUGCAGACAGACGCAUUCAAAGGAACGACAAAUGGGCUGCGAAACACACGCAAGGAUUUUGGUGACCUAUUGACCCAAUACUGGGACUAAGCCUGAAAGGAAAACCGGCUUAUGUGGGGCAAGAGAGAGUUAAAUCGACGAUUAAUCCAGCUCCUGCUGAUAUGGAGCAUGAUCAGGAAGAUGGAAUUUUAAUUGGGGAGGAAGGGCAAAAGAGAGCUAGAGGGGAGAAUGAGGAUGAGAUCAAUAAUUCAAUGAACAGAAAUAGACGAGUAUUGGAAGGUAAUUAUUUAUUAUCGGUGGCUGCCAAGAGGCAUGCCGACCGGGCGCAAUGAAAAUCUUGAGUUGGAAUGUCCGUGGAUUAGGAAGUCCACGGGCGAUUCGCAGACUUCGGCAUUCACUGAAGAUACAUAAUCCCCAAGUGGUUUUCUUUAUGGAAACUAAGGUGUGUAAAAAUAACAUGGAAAGAAUUUGUCAUAGAUGUGGUUAUAUGAAUGGGAUUGAAGUUGAUCCAAUUAAUACUAGAGGUGGUCUAUGUUUAGCAUGGAGGAAUGAUAUUUGCAUUGAGCUUAGGAGUUUUUCUAAGAGACACAUUGAUGUGGUGGUUGAGGAUAAGGAGGUAAAGGGAAAAUGGAGACUCACUGGAUUCUAUGGAUCUCCCUAUGCUCAAGACAUGAGUGAAUCUUGGAAUGUGUUGAGGAAUUUACACAAUGAUGAUGGGAGGCCUUGGUUCGUUUGUGGAGACUUUAAUGAGAUAAUGUACAGCCAUAAAAAAAAAGGAGGGCUACCUUGUGAUGAACGAAAAAUGGAGAAUUUUCGUAUUGUUUUAGUGGAUUGUGAACUUUUGGAUGUGGGCUUUUCUGGGAAUUGGUUUACGUGGGAAAGAGGAAAUCUGCCCUAAACAAAUAUUCGGGAAUGACUUGAUCGUGGAGUUGUUAAUGAUGUAUGGAUGAGUUUGUUUCCGGAGGUCAUUAUUCAACAUAUGCCUCACUCUUUUUCGGAUCAUUGUCCUCUCUUAAUUACUACUAGGAGGGUUGAAAAGGGGAUAAAUACUAAAGCAUUCAAGUUUGAAGCAUGGUGGAUAAUGGAAGAGUCUUUUAAUAAAGUCAAAAAUUUAUGGGAGUCAUCUUCUAGAAGCCUAUUACAAAAGCUAGAUAUCUUAAAAAAAGUCGAACUCAAUUUGAUAGAAGGAGAAAGGAUAUGCUCACAGUUAGACUAUCAGAACUUGCAGGGGAUGAGAGAGAUGAUAUUAACAUGGCAGAAUUGAUUGAUUGUAAAAUUCAAUUGAACUUUGAGAUUGAGAAGGAUGAACGUUACUGGGAACAGUGAGCUCGGAUAAAUUGGUUGAAAUUUGGGGAUAAGAAUACUGUAUUUUUUCAUAACCAAGCGACGCAGCGUAAAAGAAAAAACGUCAUACACAAACUUAACGAUAAAGGAGGAGGAACAACGGAGAUUAUAAAAGAAAUGGAGGGAAUUGCGCGAUCUUAUUUUCAAAAUUUAUCUUCAACAGAUGGACGAGAAAAUCUUGACCAUUUGUUAUCAAGUAUUGAGAAAUGCAUAUCUGAGGAGGAAAACGAAGAUCUUUUGAGGCCUUAUACGGCAGAGGAGUUUAGAGAGGCGCUUUUUACAAUGGGUCCUACCAAAACACCAGGUGAACAUGGCUUCCCGGCACUAUUUUACCAAAAUUGCUGGCACAUCAUUAGGGAGGACGUCACCAAAUUCUGUUUACAAAUUCUAAAUGAAGGUAUGGAUUUUCAACAAAUUAAUGCGACUCAAAUAAAUUUUAUCCCUAAAAUUGAUAAUCAUACUACUAUGAUGGAUUUCCGUCCUAUCAGUCUGUGCAAUGUGCUUUAUAAAAUUACAGCAAAAACGAUUGCAAAUAGGCAUAGAGGAGUUAUCAAAAAAUGCAUUGAUAGGGCCUAAAGUACGUUUGUACCAGGCAGAUUGAACUCAGACAAUAUUCUACUUGCAUAUGAAAUUCUUCAUACUCUUAAACAAAAGAGAAAUGGGAAAAAAGGUCUUAUGGCAGUCAAGUUGGACAUAAGUAAAGCAUAUGACAGGGUUGAGUGGAAUUUUAUAAAAAAAAUGAUGGCACGAAUGGGGUUUGAUAUGAGAGUGAUCAGAAUUUUGAUGAAAUGUUUGACAACGGUCUCCUACUCAGUAGUUGUAAACGAAUACAUAGGAGAAAGCUUUCAACCAACAAGGGGACUUCGUCAGGUAGAUCCACUUAGCCCGUUUCUUUUUCUCAUUUCUGGGGAAGGGCUGUCAUGUUUAAUGAGAUUAGUAUGCAGGGAAGGACUAGUGAAAAGCGCUAAAGCUAGUAGGAACGGACCACAGGUAUCACAUUUACUGUUUGCUGAUGAUUGUAUCUUAUUUGGUCAAGCAACAAGUAGAGAAGCUAAUUUUUUAAAGGAAAUUUUGGGGGAAUAUAGGAGAUGCUCGGGCCAAUGUGUUAACUUUAAUAAGUCCACUGUCUUUUCUAGCAGUAAUACAAAUGAUGAAGAUAAACGAGAGGUGGUAAACAUUUUGGGGGUGCGUAGUUCAGAAAAUCCGGAGAGGUAUUUGGGGUUACCCAACACAGUUGGAAGAAGGAAAAAAUAAUCUUUUCAGGGCCUAAAAGAUAGAUUUAAGAAACGUAUUGACAAUUGGAGCACCAGGUUUUUGUCUCAGGGCGGGAAAGAAGUGUUUAUUAAAUCAGUCCUUCAAUAUACCAACUUACUUUAUGUCGUGUUUCUUAUUACCCAAGUCUUUAUGUUCAGAAAUGGAAAGCAUUAUAGCUCAAUUUUGGUGGCAAAAGGGGAAUGGAAAACGAGGAAUACAUUAGUGUGCAUGGAAAAAUCUUUGCAUUUUAAAAGAAAAUGGGGGUCUUGGUUUUCGAAACACGAGUCAGUUCAAUAUCGCAUUAUUAGCCAAAUGGGGGUGGCGCCUUAUUAAUUACCUGAAUUCAUUAGUGGCUAGAGUGUUCAAGGCUAAAUACUAUCCAAAUACAGACUUUAACAGCACUCAGUUAGGGAAUAUACCUUUUCUUACCUGGAAGAGUGUGUAGGCUGCUAAGGGAUUGUUAAAUAAUGGACUGUGUUGGAGGGUUGGAAAGGGUGACGGGAUCUCGAUCUGGGAGGAACGUUGGCUACCAGGCAAGGAACCUGAAGAGUGGAAUAGUAGAAACAGAAGUGAAGAGUACAAGUUAGUUUCAGAAUUAAUUGAUCCAAAUACCAGAAUGUGGAAGACAGAUAUUAUCAUGCAAAUCAUGCAAAUUCCUCUUGCGAAAAUUCCUCAUAACGACAUUCAAAUGUGGAAGGGAGAAUCGACCGGAGAAUUCACUGUCAGAAGCGCCUACAAACUAUUACAAGAAGCUAGCAUGGAUCCUAGUUAUUAUUAUUUACAGGCCGACUCAAAGAAUUUGUACAAAAAACUUUGGAAUCUAAGACUACCCUAAAAAAUACUGAUUGCAAUUUAGAGAAUUACAUGGAACUAUAUCCCGAAUUUUGUAAAUCUAAAACAUAAGCGAGUGAUCAAUAGUGCUUUAUUCCCUCGUUGCGGGAAUGGAGAAGAAGACAGUGGGCAUGUCUUUUUGAAUUGCCCUGUUACAGUAGUGAUUUGGAGGAAGUUAGAGGUCUCAUGGGUAGACAGAAUAGUUCAAAAUAUCUGGGAAUGGAUCACCUGGAUCUUUCAAAAUACUGCUAUUCAACAGUGUCGCUUGCUCUGCUGUGGCUUGUGGAUUAUAUGGAGUUCACGAAAUAAGCUUGUACACGAAAGGAAGUUAGAGUCAGAAGAUGAGAUUUUACAGAAUAUUCGAAGAUAUAUGGCUGAGAUUGAAGGAUUAGAAGAAAAGAAACUCACCUCUCCAACGGGGUAUAGAAGCAACACUAUAGAUGUAAACACCAGGGCAACGAUUCAGUUUGACGCUGCACUCGAUAACAGAAACCACAGAUCAGCAUCGGGAUUAGUGGUUUGGCGUCAGACGGGGGAACUCCUUGCAUUUAAGUCAAUGAUCAACUGGAAGGUUUCAUCUCCGUUUGUUGCAGAGGCGUAUGCAGGCUUACAGGCUGUUCAAUUAGGGAUCUCGCUAAAACUUCCCUCAGUAACGGUUAUGGGAUAUUCUCAAACAGUUAUCAAAAAAUGCCAGUCAAAGAACUCGGAUAAAUCAAUCAUCGGUACAAUAAUCAGAGACAUUUAUAGCAGUAUGAACAGGUUUCAAGAAAUAAAAUUCCAGUUUAUUAAAAGAACAGAGAAUGCCUAUGCUCACAACCUGGCAAAGGAGUCUUUGAGAAAGAAUGAGGAAACGUACCAGAGAAGGCCGGAUCUGACUCAACACCAUUCCCAACCGGAGAGAAAAUAGAGGAACAACCCAGAUUGAGAUUUGUUUGGGGUUAAUGAAAUAAAACAGAUAGCUGAAAAUGGUAUAUGGAUAAACUAUUGACAAGCAUAGAGAAGACAGUGAUGUGGAAGGAAAUGGAGUACAGUUGUGUCUUGGGAAUCGGCUAGUUUAAUUUCAACAAGCUUCCUUUUUAUUUGUUUUUCAAUUAAUAGGCAGGUUUUAUUAGAAUUAUUUUAAUUAUUUUUGAAACUAAUGGCUAAAGAAAUAGGCCAAUUAUGGGAUAGGAAGUCUAGAGUGUCAUAGGCCUGAACCAUUAUUAUUAGGUUUUGUAUUUGACUUCUUUAUUUAUUUAAGUCUAG
rnacentral:lncRNA from 1 species